AGUGGCGGACGGGUGAGUAAUGUCUGGGAAACUGCCUGAUGGAGGGGGAUAACUACUGGAAACGGUAGCUAAUACCGCAUACCAUCGGAUGUGCCCAGAUGGGAUUAGCUAGUAGGUGGGGUAAAGGCUCACCUAGGCGACGAUCCCUAGCUGGUCUGAGAGGAUGACCAGCCACACUGGAACUGAGACACGGUCCAGACUCCUACGGGAGGCAGCAGUGGGGAAUAUUGCACAAUGGGCGCAAGCCUGAUGCAGCCAUGCCGCGUGUAUGAAGAAGGCCUUCGGGUUGUAAAGUACUUUCAGCGGGGAGGCGUUACCCGCAGAAGAAGCACCGGCUAACUCCGUGCCAGCAGCCGCGGUAAUACGGAGGGUGCAAGCGUUAAUCGGAAUUACUGGGCGUAAAGCGCACGCAGGCGGUUUGUUAAGUCAGAUGUGAAAUCCCCGGGCUCAACCUGGGAACUGCAUCUGAUACUGGCAAGCUUGAGUCUCGUAGAGGGGGGUAGAAUUCCAGGUGUAGCGGUGAAAUGCGUAGAGAUCUG
rnacentral:rRNA from 1 species